rnacentral:miRNA from 1 species
GACAGCAGGACGGUGG